rnacentral:rRNA from 1 species
UCUCUUGCAUCCAGCAGAUUCGCUAGUAGAUAGCUUAGUGCCUUCGGAACUCUGAGACAGGUGCUGCAUGGCUGUCGUCAGCCUCGUGUUGUGAAAUGUUGGGUUAAGUCCCGCAACGAGCGCAACCCUUAUCCUUUGUUGCCAGCGAUUCGGUCGGGAACUCAAAGGAGACUGCCGGUGAUAAACCGGAGAAAGGUGGGGAUGACGUCAAGUCAUCAUGCCCUUACGAGUAGGGCUACACACGUGCUACAAUGGCGUAUACAAGAGAAGCGACUCGCGAGAGCAAGCGACCUCAUAAGUACGUCGUAGUCCGGAUUGAGUCUGCACUCGACUCAUGAAGUCGGAUCGCUAGUAUCGUAGAUCAGAUGCUACGUGAUACGUCCCGGUGUGUGACACCGA